GACGGAGGAUGCAAACGUUGCUCGGAAUUACUGGGCGUAAAGCGCGUGUAGGCGGUCUGAUAAGUCGGACGUGAAAGCCCUGGGCUCAACCUGGGAACUGCAUCCAAAACUACUGAGCUAGAGUACGGUAGAGGGUAGUGGAAUUCCCUGUGUAGCGGUGAAAUGCGUAGAUAUAGGAAGGAACACCAGUGGCGAAGGCGACUACCUGGACUGAUACUGACACUGAGGUGCGAAAGCGUGGGGAGCAAACAGGAUUAGAAACCCGUGUAGU
rnacentral:rRNA from 1 species